rnacentral:lncRNA from 1 species
UGACAUAAUAGUUAAUGAUUACAAAUAUAUUGUAUACCAAUCUACUACGUUUUUAAAUAAAAAAGAAAACGAUAUAACUAACAGGGGAUGUUACUCCAUUUUUAAUUACACAAUUAUGGAUGACACAAAUGGGAAAAAUGCAAAAACAAUAAAAAAUAUGGACAAACCAAAUUUUUUAUUUAAAAUCUUUCAAUUAAUUAAAAUAAAAAAAAAGUUUUUUCAUUUAUUCAUGGCGAGAAUAAAUGAACUAGCCAAACGAACACAAGUGCACAAGCAAAUGGGUAAACAACAUAAUUCAAAUAAAAUAGAAACAACAAACAUGAAUAAACAAAAAGAUAUGACAUAUAUUCAUAAGGAUGAUAAGUAUAUUAAAAAUGAUUUAAACGUAGCUGUAGAAAGAAAGGGGAAAACAAAUUAUUUUAAACAAUUUUUAAUAGAUUAUAGUGAUGAUAACAGCUCUUCUAGUAGUUUCAAUUUACAUGACAUCCAACAAAAUGAAUAUGACACAACAUAUUUUUUAAAAAAAAAAAGAAAAAAAAAAAAAGACUAUGAAAAUAAGAUAUAUGUAAAUAAAAUUCUUUAUCCAAACUAUUACAAAAUUGUAUUGAAAGAAAUGGCAAUUUUAGACAUUAUAAGUAGAGAGAGUAUACAAAAAAUAAAUUUAUUUAAUUCUGUUUUUGAGUAUAAACUUAUUUGUUUUACCAAAAUUGCUAUGGUAAAGCAGUUGGUAUGGAAAAAAAAAAUUUUCAAAUUGUUGUAUCGGUUUUUUAAGAAAGAUAAAAACGAAGAGAUGAACCAACAGUCAAAUCAAAGCUUGAGUAAUAGUGGAAAACAAAGGCAAAAGAAAAAGAAAAACCAAAAGAAAAACCAAAAGAAUAAGCAAAAGAAAAACCAAAAGAAAAACCAAAAGAAUAAGCAAAAGAAAAACCAAAAGAAUAAGCAAAAGAAUAAGCAAAAACGCGUUCUCGGCUUAAACCUAUUCAACGGUGGCUACUCGUUUUUAUUAAUAAAAAAUUUCCAUCAUAUAAAUACCUUUUCGAGUUUAAAAAGAAACUGUAUUUUGUUUUUAUUACU